GUGGGGAAUAUUGGACAAUGGGCGAAAGCCUGAUCCAGCCAUGCCGCGUGUGUGAAGAAGGUCUUCGGAUUGUAAAGCACUUUAAGUUGGGAGGAAGGGCAGUAAGUUAAUACCUUGCUGUUUUGACGUUACCGACAGAAUAAGCACCGGCUAACUUCGUGCCAGCAGCCGCGGUAAUACGAAGGGUGCAAGCGUUAAUCGGAAUUACUGUGCGUAAAGCGCGCGUAGGUGGUUUUGUAAGUUGGAUGUGAAAUCCCCGGGCUCAACCUGGGAACUGCCUCCAAAACUGCAUGACUAGAGUACGGUAGAGGGUAGUGGAAUUUCCUGUGUAGCGGUGAAAUGCGUAGAUAUAGGAAGGAACACCAGUGGCGAAGGCGACUACCUGGACUGAUACUGACACUGAGGUGCGAAAGCGUGGGGAGCAAACAGGAUUAGAAACCCUUGUAGUCC
rnacentral:rRNA from 1 species